rnacentral:rRNA from 1 species
CCUACUGGCGGCUGCAGUGGGGAAUUUUGGACAAUGGGGGCAACCCUGAUCCAGCCAUUCCGCGUGAGUGAAGAAGGCCUUCGGGUUGUAAAGCUCUUUUGUCCGGAGCGAAACGGGCGGCCCUAAUACGGUCGUCUACUGACGGUACCGGAAGAAUAAGCACCGGCUAACUACGUGCCAGCAGCCGCGGUAAUACGUAGGGUACGAGCGUUCGUCGGAAUUACUGGGCGGGUUUCGUAAGCCAGCGGUUAAAUCCCCGGGCUCAACCUGGGAAUGGCAUUUGGGACUGCAAGGCUGGAGUGUGGCAGAGGGGACUAGAAUUCCUGGUGUAGCAGUGAAAUGCGUAGAUAUCAGGAGGAAUACCGAUGGCGAAGGCAGGUCCCUGGGUUAACACUGACGCUCAUGCACGAAAGCGUGGGGAGCAAACAGGAUUAGAUACCCUAGUAGUC